rnacentral:lncRNA from 1 species
AAGGGGUGAAAAUUUGGGUUCUUGGGGUAUUUUUGAAAGAAAAAUUAAAAAUCGGGGGUCAAAACGCAAUUUAAAAAAAUUGCACCACGUCAGCUGCCCGGUCAGUAGCCCCGGCCAACUAGGAUGCGCCGCGUGGCAGAGACGCUGACGCGGGAGGCCACGCCAAAGGGAGUCAUAUGGGCGAUCCGUGUGCGCGCGAUCGAACGGCUGAGAUCUGUUCCCGCGCACACGGAUGGCCCAGAUAAUAAAUACCCAUGGACGGCUCAGAUUGCAUCGUGCACGGACGGCCCAGAUUGAAUCACGCACGGACAGCCCAGAUUGAAUCGCGAUGAAUGGUCCAGAUUUAUUUCCUAUUUAUUUGCGAUCGGACGGUCCAGAUUAAAUGUGAUGGACGGCUCAGAUC